GUGAAUGAAAUCACAAACAACCUUAUACCCCUUUGUUUGACCGUGAAAAAUUUCUCCCAUCCCCUUUGUUGUCUUAAUGACAAUAAACGAAAAGAUCCGGCUUCGGCCGGAUCUUUUCGU
rnacentral:sRNA from 1 species